AUCCCAUGAUAAGGACACUUACGCAGUAAUUCCUUGAAUCACUCCUAAGCUUCAUUCAACGACUCUUCAUCCAAUUGUUGGAAAGUUGUAAUCUCGUUCCUCAACGU
rfam:Gossypium hirsutum cultivar TM-1 chromosome 6, whole genome shotgun sequence